rnacentral:antisense_RNA from 1 species
ACUCUGUUGCACCGCCCAGUCGCCCGGCUUUCCACUGAGGGACGCCCCCUGCUCUGGACUGCUUAGCCUACUCCAGCUGGCCCCAUCUCACCUCAUCGGCCCCGCCUCCUCCGCAUGCCCACUCCGGGCGCCCACUCCUGAGGAGCUAUCCCAGAGUCCGCGCGGCCUCGCCUUCCCGGCCCGCUCCCCACCCCGCCCCGUCCCACCUCGCCUCGCCCUCCCCGGGCUCUAGCCACUUGGUGCGGCAGGUGUCCUGCAGGCCGGCUUGAGAUUCCCGGGCUCGCCCUCGUGGUGUUCCAGGAACACGAGUCUCGCUCGGGCACCAGGCUGGAGUGCAGUGGCACGGUCUCGGCUUACUACAACCUCCGCCUUCCGGAUUCAAGUGAUUCUGCUGCCUCAGCCUCCCGAGUAGCUGGGAUUACAGUGUUUCAGAAUCACCUGGGAUGAUCUGCAUGAAGAUUCCUGGCCUCCACCAAAGACUUACUGAAUCAGAAAGGAGGCAAGAGGAUGAGGAAUGCUUAAGAAUCUGCAUUAACAAACUUUACAACUGAAUCUUACAACAUACAGAAGCAUGGAAACUACUGCCUCAAGGGAUUAUCUCAACUUGAGUUUAAACAUAGGAAUUGCUGACUACCUUUAAAAUGUAAAAAUAGUAUCUUUAUGGGAGGGAUGUUGUUUGGGGGCAGCUACUAAAUAGUGAAAUCAUUCCUUUAAAAUACCCUCUCAAGUCUGCCCCAGUUAUCCAUUUUACUGGAUAGUCUUGGUAUCCAGAUGAUUUAGGGAAAAAAAUAGUAGUAGCA